GAUGAACGCUGGCGGCGUGCCUAAUACAUGCAAGUCGAGCGAACAGACGAGUAGCUUGCGCCUCUGACGUUAGCGGCGGACGGGUGAGUAACACGUGGAUAACCUACCUAUAAGACUGGUAUAACUUCGGGAAACCGGAGCUAAUACCGGAUAAUAUAUUGAACCGUAUGGUUCUAGAGUGAAAGACGGUUUUGCUGUCACUUAUAGACGGAUCCGCGCCGCGUUAGCUAGUUGGUAAGGUAACGGCUUACCAAGGCAACGAUGCGUAGCCGAACGGAGAGGGUGAUCGGCCACCCUAGAACUGAGACACCGUCAAGACUCCUACGGGAGGCAGCAGUAGGGAAUCUGCCGCAAUGGGCGAAAACCUGACGGAGCAACGCCGAGUGAGUGAUGGCGGUCUUCGGAUCGUGAAACUCUGUUAUUAGGGAAGAACAAAUGUGUAAGUAACUAUGCACGUCUUGACGGUACCUAAUCAGAAAGCCACGGCUAACUACGUG
rnacentral:rRNA from 1 species